AUUUAUGUACAAGCUACUAAAACCCUGUCUUUUAAUACUCUCUCCCCCCGCUUGCCUCUCUACUUGCACUGGGACACUUGAAAACCCAGUUCUAGCACCAUAGAGAUCGAGAGAGGGAGCAAGGUUGCUUGUGAGUUUGAAGUAAGUUCUCAUUUAAGAGCUAGCUAGAUUUAUUUUUCAGGGGAUUCUCCCAACCACAUCAUGGGUACCAAGCAUAGCUCCAUGGGCUUCAAAACACGAAACUCAUUGUCUAUAUUCGUUGUUAUCUGUUUAUGUUGUCUCUUUUACAUCUUGGGAGCAUGGCAGAAGAGUGGUUUUGGAAAAGGAGAUGGCAUAGCUGUACAGAUGACCAAGAAGACAGAUUGCAAUAUCUUUACCGAGCUGAACUUUGAAACCCAUCAUAAUUAUGUUGAGAUUAUUGAGCCUUCUCAGCCAAAAGCCAAAGUAUUUAAGCCAUGUCAUGUUAAGUAUACUGAUUAUACUCCUUGCCAAGAACAAGAUCGAGCCAUGAAAUUUCCACGGGAGAAUAUGAUAUACCGGGAAAGGCAUUGUCCUCCUGAAGAGGAAAAACUGCACUGUCUUAUUCCAGCACCCAAAGGGUAUAAGACCCCAUUUCCUUGGCCUAAAGGACGUGAUUAUGUCCGCUAUGCUAAUGUUCCCUAUAAAAGUCUAACUGUGGAGAAGGCUGUUCAGAACUGGGUUCAAUUUCAGGGUGAUGUAUUCAAAUUUCCAGGAGGAGGAACCAUGUUUCCUCAAGGUGCAGAUGCAUACAUUGAUGAACUUGCAUCUGUGAUCCCGAUAGCAGAUGGCUCUGUCAGAACAGCACUAGAUACUGGUUGUGGUGUUGCAAGCUGGGGUGCAUACCUGAUGAAAAGAAAUGUGUUGGCUAUGUCCUUUGCACCACGAGACAAUCAUGAAGCACAGGUACAAUUUGCAUUGGAGCGGGGAGUACCUGCUGUUAUUGGGGUUCUAGGUUCAAUACGCCUUCCUUUCCCAUCAAGAGCCUUCGAUAUGGCCCAGUGCUCUCGAUGUCUUAUUCCAUGGACUGCAAAUGAUGGAAUGUACUUAAUGGAAGUUGACCGUGUCCUCAGACCUGGUGGAUAUUGGAUCCUUUCUGGCCCGCCAAUCAAUUGGAAGACCUACUAUCAAACAUGGAAGCGGUCUAAGGCUGAUCUCCAAGCCGAGCAAAGAAAGAUUGAAGAGCUGGCUGAAAGUCUUUGCUGGGAGAAAAAGUACGAGAAGGGAGAUAUUGCCAUCUUUAGGAAAAAAGUAAAUGACAAAACCUGCCACAGGAAGUCUGCUAGUGUUUGUGAAUCAAAAGAUGCUGAUGAUGUCUGGUACAAGGAAAUGAAAACUUGCAAAACUCCUCUCCCUAAAGUAACCAGUGCAAAUGAAGUAGCAGGAGGGCGGUUAAAGAAAUUUCCCGAGAGGCUUCAUGCAGUUCCUCCUCAAAUAGCCAAGGGAUUUGUUGAGGGUGUCACAGCUGAAUCUUUUGAGGAGGACAAUAAACUUUUGAGAAAGCAUCUACAUGCUUAUAAAAGGAUCAAUAAGUUGAUUGGCACUACAAGAUAUCGGAACAUCAUGGAUAUGAAUGCAAGGCUUGGGGGAUUUGCAGCAGCACUUGAAUCCCCAAAAUCUUGGGUGAUGAAUGUAGUUCCAACAAUUGCUAAGAACACUUUAGGAGUUAUUUACGAGAGAGGUUUAGUUGGAAUUUAUCAUGACUGGUGUGAAGGGUUCUCAACAUACCCAAGGACAUAUGACUUUAUCCAUGCCAAUGGUGUCUUUAGUUUGUACCAGAACAAGUGUAAUCUGGAAGACAUCCUUCUGGAAAUGGAUCGAAUUUUGCGGCCUGAAGGGACAGUAAUCUUCCGAGAUGAAGUUGAUGUUCUGAACAAGGUCAAGAAAAUUACUGAAGGAAUGAGAUGGGAUACAAAAAUGAUGGACCACGAGGAUGGUCCCCUAGUACCUGAGAAGAUACUGGUAGCUGUUAAGCAGUAUUGGGUUGGUGGAACAGGAAACAGCACAUCAAGUGAUCAAUGAUCCGGCUGUCAUUGUUUUCAAGGCAAAGAACAUGCCAGCAAUUACAAUGCUAAACAAGUGAUUAACUGCUCGACUGAGAUAUUGCAGAACUGAAGGGUUCCGAUUUCUAGAGAUGGCAGAAUGCAAGUUACUAAUCUGUUAUUGGUGAAGUGGAGCGUAUGCUCGAGUUAGCGAAUUAUCAACAUUCAAGAAUGCGAUACUGAUGACAAGAAGGACGUCCCUUGCAAUCAAAGAUUAUGUUUUUUUUUUAGUUAACCACAGCCAAUAUUCAGUGCUCAAGAGAUUGGAUUCAUUGUUCUCUAACUCAUGCUGCGUGGCUCUAAUGGAGCAGCAGGCAUCAUUAAAGGCAACUGAAUUUAAUUGGCUACCCAAGUAAUAGCUAGAAAGAUUUUCCUGUAAGGUAGGUGAAAUGUUUGGGAUGAUAUAUGGGUCCAUUGUUGUCUGUGGGUGCCCUGUAAAGCACAGCUCCAACAAAGGGUGGUUGGUGCCGCUGAUAAAUGAGAGAGACCAUCAACAUUCCGACAUGCUUACCUGGAAGAUCGAGGUCACUAGGUCCGGCUUAUCUCCCCUUGGUGGCCGACAACUGGAGAAGCGGACCAGCAUCUACGUGUCGCUGCAUCAACUAUGUAGGAUCUGGGAGUUGGCCAAGUUAGUAGAGCUUGCUAAGGAGUCCAGCAAGCCGAGACCUGGCCCAUGUGAAGCCUGAGUCACUUUUCAUGCCACGUAGAUGAUAAAAUGGUAACAUCAAUCACACUCACACAGUUGACUCAAGAACCGCCGAGUUUGAUGACCAUGCCAGGAUUUUUCAUUAAACAAAGUUUCUGUUUGGUAAUGUUCUUUAAACGGGGUUAAGUAAAUUUUGAGAUUUCUUUUUAAAAAGAUAA